GGGUUGUGAGGUUAAGCGACUAAGCGUACACGGUGGAUGCCCUGGCAGUCAGAGGCGAUGAAGGGCGUGCUAAUCUGCGAUAAGCGCCGGUAAGGUGAUAUGAACCGUUAUAACCGGCGAUACCCGAAUGGGGAAACCCAGUGUGAUUCGUCACACUAUCAUUAACUGAAUCCAUAGGUUAAUGAGGCGAACCGGGGGAACUGAAACAUCUAAGUACCCCGAGGAAAAGAAAUCAACCGAGAUUCCCCCAGUAGCGGCGAGCGAACGGGGAGGAGCCCAGAGCCUGAAUCAGCAUGUGUGUUAGUGGAAGCGUCUGGAAAGGCGCGCGAUACAGGGUGACAGCCCCGUACACAAAAGCGCAUGUGCUGUGAGCUCGAUGAGUAGGGCGGGACACGUGGUAUCCUGUCUGAAUAUGGGGGGACCAUCCUCCAAGGCUAAAUACUCCUGACUGACCGAUAGUGAACCAGUACCGUGAGGGAAAGGCGAAAAGAACCCCGGCGAGGGGAGUGAAAAAGAACCUGAAACCGUGUACGUACAAGCAGUGGGAGCCCCACCACCAAAGCAUUUGCUGUACCGCGUUGACGGAGCGAAGCGACGUCAAACCGAUAAAACAGCAGUGUAAAGUGAGCCGCAGGGCGCUUUGCGCGACAGCGCAAAGGCAGGCGGUUUCGCGUAGCGAAAGCGAAUGCUUUGGGGUGGGGUGACUGCGUACCUUUUGUAUAAUGGGUCAGCGACUUAUAUUCUGUAGCAAGGUUAACCGAAUAGGGGAGCCGGAGGGAAACCGAGUCUUAAUUGGGCGUUAAGUUGCAGGGUAUAGACCCGAAACCCGGUGAUCUAGCCAUGGGCAGGUUGAAGGUUGGGUAACACUAACUGGAGGACCGAACCGACUAAUGUUGAAAAAUUAGCGGAUGACCUGUGGCUGGGGGUGAAAGGCCAAUCAAACCGGGAGAUAGCUGGUUCUCCCCGAAAGCUAUUUAGGUAGCGCCUCGUGAAUUCAUCUCCGGGGGUAGAGCACUGUUUCGGCUAGGGGGCCAUCCCGGCUUACCAACCCGAUGCAAACUGCGAAUACCGGAGAAUGUUAUCACGGGAGACACACGGCGGGUGCUAACGUCCGUCGUGAAGAGGGAAACAACCCAGACCGCCAGCUAAGGUCCCAAAGUCAUGGUUAAGUGGGAAACGAUGUGGGAAGGCCCAGACAGCCAGGAUGUUGGCUUAGAAGCAGCCAUCAUUUAAAGAAAGCGUAAUAGCUCACUGGUCGAGUCGGCCUGCGCGGAAGAUGUAACGGGGCUAAACCAUGCACCGAAGCUGCGGCAGCGACACUGUGUGUUGUUGGGUAGGGGAGCGUUCUGUAAGCCUGCGAAGGUGGCCUGUGAGGGUUGCUGGAGGUAUCAGAAGUGCGAAUGCUGACAUAAGUAACGAUAAAGCGGGUGAAAAGCCCGCUCGCCGGAAGACCAAGGGUUCCUGUCCAACGUUAAUCGGGGCAGGGUGAGUCGACCCCUAAGGCGAGGCCGAAAGGCGUAGUCGAUGGGAAACGGGUUAAUAUUCCCGUACUUGGUGUUACUGCGAAGGGGGGACGGAGAAGGCUAUGUUGGCCGGGCGACGGUUGUCCCGGUUUAAGCGUGUAGGUGUGUGUUCCAGGUAAAUCCGGUUCACUUUAACACUGAGGCGUGACGACGAGGCACUACGGUGCUGAAGCAACAAAUGCCCUGCUUCCAGGAAAAGCCUCUAAGCAUCAGGUAACAUCAAAUCGUACCCCAAACCGACACAGGUGGUCAGGUAGAGAAUACCAAGGCGCUUGAGAGAACUCGGGUGAAGGAACUAGGCAAAAUGGUGCCGUAACUUCGGGAGAAGGCACGCUGACACGUAGGUGAAGUGAUUUACUCAUGGAGCUGAAGUCAGUCGAAGAUACCAGCUGGCUGCAACUGUUUAUUAAAAACACAGCACUGUGCAAACACGAAAGUGGACGUAUACGGUGUGACGCCUGCCCGGUGCCGGAAGGUUAAUUGAUGGGGUCAGCGCAAGCGAAGCUCCUGAUCGAAGCCCCGGUAAACGGCGGCCGUAACUAUAACGGUCCUAAGGUAGCGAAAUUCCUUGUCGGGUAAGUUCCGACCUGCACGAAUGGCGUAAUGAUGGCCAGGCUGUCUCCACCCGAGACUCAGUGAAAUUGAACUCGCUGUGAAGAUGCAGUGUACCCGCGGCAAGACGGAAAGACCCCGUGAACCUUUACUAUAGCUUGACACUGAACAUUGAGCCUUGAUGUGUAGGAUAGGUGGGAGGCUUUGAAGUGUGGACGCCAGUCUGCAUGGAGCCGACCUUGAAAUACCACCCUUUAAUGUUUGAUGUUCUAACGUGGACCCGUUACCCGGGUUGCGGACAGUGUCUGGUGGGUAGUUUGACUGGGGCGGUCUCCUCCUAAAGAGUAACGGAGGAGCACGAAGGUUGGCUAAUCCUGGUCGGACAUCAGGAGGUUAGUGCAAUGGCAUAAGCCAGCUUGACUGCGAGCGUGACGGCGCGAGCAGGUGCGAAAGCAGGUCAUAGUGAUCCGGUGGUUCUGAAUGGAAGGGCCAUCGCUCAACGGAUAAAAGGUACUCCGGGGAUAACAGGCUGAUACCGCCCAAGAGUUCAUAUCGACGGCGGUGUUUGGCACCUCGAUGUCGGCUCAUCACAUCCUGGGGCUGAAGUAGGUCCCAAGGGUAUGGCUGUUCGCCAUUUAAAGUGGUACGCGAGCUGGGUUUAGAACGUCGUGAGACAGUUCGGUCCCUAUCUGCCGUGGGCGCUGGAGAACUGAGGGGGGCUGCUCCUAGUACGAGAGGACCGGAGUGGACGCAUCACUGGUGUUCGGGUUGUCAUGCCAAUGGCACUGCCCGGUAGCUAAAUGCGGAAGAGAUAAGUGCUGAAAGCAUCUAAGCACGAAACUUGCCCCGAGAUGAGUUCUCCCUGAGACUUAAAGUCUCCUGAAGGAACGUUGAAGACGACGACGUUGAUAGGCCGGGUGUGUAAGCGCAGCGAUGCGUUGAGCUAACCGGUACUAAUGAACCGUGAGGCUUAACCUUACAACGCCGAAG
rnacentral:rRNA from 1 species